GAGCUCAGGUUUCUCUUCGUUCACACACAAAUCUUCAGCCUUUUACUAAAGAUUUCCGUGGAGGGGAACAUUGACAAGUUCUUCUCCGCAAUUUCCCUCCAGGAUCAAUAAGGUUUUA
ensembl:snRNA U5 U5 spliceosomal RNA